UUGAUUCGAGCUCCGGCUCGACUCCUCCCACCCAAUGUGUACCUACCUCUGUUGCUUUGGCGGGCCGCGGUCCUCCGCACCGGCGCCCUUCGGGGGGCUGGCCAGCGCCCGCCAGAGGACCAUAAAACUCCAGUCAGUGAACUUUGCAGUCUGAGAAACAAGUUAAUAAACUAAAACUUUCAACAACGGAUCUCUUGGUUCUGGCAUCGAUGAAGAACGCAGCGAAAUGCGAUAAGUAAUGUGAAUUGCAGAAUUCAGUGAAUCAUCGAAUCUUUGAACGCACAUUGCGCCCCUUGGUAUUCCGAGGGGCAUGCCUGUUCGAGCGUCAUUUCAACCCUCAAGCUCUGCUUGGUAUUGGGCUCCGUCCUCCACGGACGCGCCUUAAAGACCUCGGCGGUGGCGUCUUGCCUCAAGCGUAGUAGAAAACACCUCGCUUUGGAGCGCACGGCGUCGCCCGCCGGACGAACCUUU
rnacentral:rRNA from 1 species